GGGUGUGUAGCUCAAUGGAUAGAGCAACAGCCUUCUAAGCUGUCGGUUACAGGUUCGAGUCCUGUCACACCCG
rfam:Crocosphaera watsonii WH 8501 ctg348, whole genome shotgun sequence.